rnacentral:rRNA from 1 species
UGGGGAAUAUUGGACAAUGGGGGGAACCCUGAUCCAGCCAUGCCGCGUGUGUGAAGAAGGCCUUAUGGUUGUAAAGCACUUUAAGCGAGGAGGAGGCUCUUUUGGUUAAUACCCAAGAUGAGUGGACGUUACUCGCAGAAUAAGCACCGGCUAACUCUGUGCCAGCAGCCGCGGUAAUACAGAGGGUGCGAGCGUUAAUCGGAUUUACUGGGCGUAAAGCGUGCGUAGGCGGCUUUUUAAGUCGGAUGUGAAAUCCCUGAGCUUAACUUAGGAAUUGCAUUCGAUACUGGUCAGCUAGAGUAUGGGAGAGGAUGGUAGAAUUCCAGGUGUAGCGGUGAAAUGCGUAGAGAUCUGGAGGAAUACCGAUGGCGAAGGCAGCCAUCUGGCCUAAUACUGACGCUGAGGUACGAAAGCAUGGGGAGCAAACAGG